rnacentral:pre_miRNA from 1 species
CAUCUUGAUCAAUGGAUUUUGUAAAAGUAGAAGGAUGGACGAGGCAAAAUCACUGCUUGCUGAAAUGUAUCAUAAAGCAUUGAAUCCUGAUACUGUCACCUACAGCACUCUUAUGCAAGGUC